AAAUUGAAGAGUUUGAUCAUGGCUCAGAUUGAACGCUGGCGGCAGGCCUAACACAUGCAAGUCGAGCGGUAACACAGAGAGCUUGCUCUCGGGUGACGAGCGGCGGACGGGUGAGUAAUGUCUGGGAAACUGCCUGAUGGAGGGGGAUAACUACUGGAAACGGUAGCUAAUACCGCAUAACGUCGCAAGACCAAAGUGGGGGACCUUCGGGCCUCAUGCCAUCAGAUGUGCCCAGAUGGGAUUAGCUAGUAGGUGGGGUAAUGGCUCACCUAGGCGACGAUCCCUAGCUGGUCUGAGAGGAUGACCAGCCACACUGGAACUGAGACACGGUCCAGACUCCUACGGGAGGCAGCAGUGGGGAAUAUUGCACAAUGGGCGCAAGCCUGAUGCAGCCAUGCCGCGUGUAUGAAGAAGGCCUUCGGGUUGUAAAGUACUUUCAGCGAGGAGGAAGGCAUUAAGGUUAAUAACCUUGGUGAUUGACGUUACUCGCAGAAGAAGCACCGGCUAACUCCGUGCCAGCAGCCGCGGUAAUACGGAGGGUGCAAGCGUUAAUCGGAAUUACUGGGCGUAAAGCGCACGCAGGCGGUCUGUCAAGUCGGAUGUGAAAUCCCCGGGCUCAACCUGGGAACUGCAUUCGAAACUGGCAGGCUAGAGUCUUGUAGAGGGGGGUAGAAUUCCAGGUGUAGCGGUGAAAUGCGUAGAGAUCUGGAGGAAUACCGGUGGCGAAGGCGGCCCCCUGGACAAAGACUGACGCUCAGGUGCGAAAGCGUGGGGAGCAAACAGGAUUAGAUACCCUGGUAGUCCACGCCGUAAACGAUGUCGACUUGGAGGUUGUGCCCUUGAGGCGUGGCUUCCGGAGCUAACGCGUUAAGUCGACCGCCUGGGGAGUACGGCCGCAAGGUUAAAACUCAAAUGAAUUGACGGGGGCCCGCACAAGCGGUGGAGCAUGUGGUUUAAUUCGAUGCAACGCGAAGAACCUUACCUACUCUUGACAUCCAGAGAACUUAGCAGAGAUGCUUUGGUGCCUUCGGGAACUCUGAGACAGGUGCUGCAUGGCUGUCGUCAGCUCGUGUUGUGAAAUGUUGGGUUAAGUCCCGCAACGAGCGCAACCCUUAUCCUUUGUUGCCAGCGGUCCGGCCGGGAACUCAAAGGAGACUGCCAGUGAUAAACUGGAGGAAGGUGGGGAUGACGUCAAGUCAUCAUGGCCCUUACGAGUAGGGCUACACACGUGCUACAAUGGCAUAUACAAAGAGAAGCGACCUCGCGAGAGCAAGCGGACCUCAUAAAGUAUGUCGUAGUCCGGAUUGGAGUCUGCAACUCGACUCCAUGAAGUCGGAAUCGCUAGUAAUCGUAGAUCAGAAUGCUACGGUGAAUACGUUCCCGGGCCUUGUACACACCGCCCGUCACACCAUGGGAGUGGGUUGCAAAAGAAGUAGGUAGCUUAACCUUCGGGAGGGCGCUUACCACUUUGUGAUUCAUGACUGGGGUGAAGUCGUAACAAGGUAACCGUAGGGGAACCUGCGGUUGGAUCACCUCCUUA
rnacentral:rRNA from 1 species